rnacentral:lncRNA from 10 species
CGGAGAUAAAUUACCUGUUGUGACUGACCCAGGUGCGUCGUCCCAGACACCCGAUGUUACAAGACCGUUAUAAAAAGUCUCAUUUUCACUGUUCUUCGUGCCUCUAAGUCCAUUCUUUGGGUUUGAACGGGUGAGUGUGUUUCUCACAACCUGAGGGCCCGUUCGGGAUCUCUGUGCCUACGUGGAGUGGGACUCCGGCUGAGAGAAGAGACAUGUCCCACCCGAUUUUUGUGCCCCACUCUGUCUGGGUGUCCUGGCUCCCCACAGAAGCCAUAGAUAAACCCGAGACUGUUAUUCAGGAGACGGUGGAGGUGACGCAGGGAGAAAAGCAGGCACUGCGGCAAACAGGCAACCUCGUGCACCAGCCAAGGUUGGGUAUUUCCUUCAGCCUAUUAAAGGAAUUGGGAACCUGUGGUACCGGAGAAAUAGCCUGCAGACCAGAGAAUAAGGAAAAGUUGUUUCCUGCCAAAGAACAAGCAGUAUUGUGAAAUAUAAAAUUUUAUUGUUGCGGUGAAAGAAAAUUUCAGUAUCAAAUUUUUGAAAACACCAUGUAAGAGAUGCCUGCUUUCCCUUCACCUUCCGGCAUGAUUGUAAGUUUCCUGAGGCCUCUCCAGACAUGCUUCCUGUACAGCCUGUAGAACUAUUCUGACACCUCCACUUCACACAAAACACUCCACUUUAGAGUUCCUUGGCCCCUUAAAGAAGUGCCUGCUUCUCCUUUGCCUUCCACCAUGAUGUUAAGUUUCCUGAAGCCUCCCCACCAAAGCAGAACU